rnacentral:lncRNA from 1 species
GCCCAUGACUGACAAUCCGAGGUGUCAUAAUUCAGUCCAUGAUCAACAAUCUACAUCAUGGCUAGUCUAAAUCCUCUAUCACAAUCAAUAGUUAUUCAUUAAUUUUGUAUUACAUUCUUGUUCAAUUUCAAAAUCAAAUAUCAUAUUUUUCAACAAUCAAAGAGUCAACAUGUGAUGCAUAUAUAAUAAAUAAUCAUAUAUCCAAGUAAAAUCAAAAUCAUCAUGCCUGGUACAAAAACAUAUAUACAGAUAUUCA